rnacentral:rRNA from 1 species
UACAGAGGAGCCAAGCGUUGUCCGGAUUGACUGGGCGUAAAGCGCACGCAGGCGGUCGUGCGCGUGGGGUGUGAAAUCUGGCCGCUUAACGGCCAGGCGCCAUCCCAUACGGCACGACUGGAGCGAUGCAGAGGUCGGUGGAAUUGCCGGUGUAGUGGUGAAAUGCGUAGAUAUCGAGAGGAACACCUGCGGCGAAGGCGGGUUGCUGGGCCGACACUGACGCUGAGGCGCGAAAGCUAGGGGAGCGAACGGG